AUUGCAGAACACAUUGAACAUCGACANCUUGAACGCAUAUGGCGGCCUCGGGUCCAUCCCGAGGCCACGCCCGUCUGAGGGUCGGCGAAAA
rnacentral:rRNA from 1 species